rnacentral:lncRNA from 15 species
UGGUAGGUGACCUGCAGUGUCUCUAGAUAUGAAAGGUUAAUAUUAAGUUGACAAAAACACAACAAUGCUAAAACACCAUAAAUAAUAAUUCUUCAAUCCUCUUAACUUACUCACUGCUGUCUGUAUUCACAGGGCCAAUGCUGAUUCCAGAGGAGGUUGGCAGUGGGGUCUGCAGGCCGGACGUCAGAGGUUGAUCUGGAAUGAUGGACGGCUGCGGAGGAUGAGCAGCACGUUGCUGGGUAUCUGGGCCAAUGCUGAUGCCAGAGGAGGUUGGCAGUGGGGUCUGCAGGCCGGAUACCAGGAGCUCAACUGGAAUGAUGGAGGGCUGCGGAACUGGAUGAACAUUCGGCUGAAUAUCCAGUGAGGAUCAUA